ensembl:lncRNA
UCUCUCUCUCUCUCUCUCUCUCUCUCUCUGCGCGCGAUCCGGUCUCGUGCGCGCGCACUGUGCAUUUCUCUCUCUCUCUCUCUCUCUCUCUCUCUCUCUCUCAUCCCCCUCCCUCUCCUCUCUUCCACUUGUAUCACAGUGUAACGAAAGAAGGCGAGAAGCGAAAAGCAGCGGCUGGAAUUUUUUUUUUUUUGACGUUGCUCGUUGUGGCUUCUAUUUAUUUAUUUAUUUUAUUUUAUUUUAUUUAUUUAUUUGUGGGGUUUUAUUUUUAUGCAUCAUUCAUUUCGGCGCUGUUUUAACAUUUCGUUGUUAUUUUCGUACAUGGCGCGGGAGUCGCGCGCGUUCGACGGUCACGGUUACGCUGUAACGGAUUCGGAUUCGGUGAAGCGGGGCGGAGCGGCGCGCGGCGGCGGCGGCGGCUCGUGCUCUUCGGCCCGGCGGCUCCAGGACGCCUGAUGCUCGCCUCCCAGGCUCGGAAUUCGUCCCCCUGUUUUUCCUUCUUAUCCUCUUCCUCAAGACCGUUUUACACGCCAAUGUUCGACGGAUUAAGCGCCACUUAUGGAAACUGGGGACCAAAAUUUUAGAAAAAAGCUAAAUUAACACCGGUUCUUCAUUUCCCAAGCUGCUUUACUUGUUCAUUUUGCUGGGCUCAUCAUGGCUCCUUGAUAUUUGCUUCUCGUAACACCAGCCCUGAUUUAUUUUUAUGUAUUUCCAUUCAAGGACCUUUUUUUUAAUGCUUUAAUUUCAGCUCAAAUCCGUCAUUCCCAUUCCCACAGUCAGAAUGGAAUGGACUGUAAUGCCAACCAUCACCUGAACAGAGGAGGGUGUAAGCUGGGAUACACGUGUCCAGAUUUGAAAGGAUCAGAUGCAUUGGAUCUUCCUUAAGCACUGACUCAGUUUUUGAUAGUUGGGUUGUUGCUCCAGAUUUCCUUUUCCCAUUGUAGAAAAACCACCGAUUGGCCCAGUUUUGUAUACAUCUUGACAUAUUCCACUUCUGAAGUUGGUC